CAAGUCGAACGAGAAAGCGGGGGCAACUCCGUGAGUAAGGUGGCAGACGGGUAAGUAACACGUGAACAACCUACCCUCGAGUGGGGAAUAACACCACGAAAGCGGUGCUAAUACCGCAUAACAUCCCCGGGUCGCAUGAUCUGGAGAUCAAAGGCGAAAGUCGCUUGAGGAGGGGUUCGCGGCUGAUUAGCUAGUUGGUGAGGUAACGGCCCACCAAGGCAACGAUCAGUAGCCGGCCUGAGAGGGCGUACGGCCACACUGGAACUGGGACACGGUCCAGACUCCUACGGGAGGCAGCAGUGGGGAAUUUUGCGCAAUGGGCGAAAGCCUGACGCAGCAACGCCGCGUGGAGGAUGAAGGUCUUCGGAUCGUAAACUCCUGUCAGGGGGGAAGAAAGUUCCGCAAGGGGCCUGACUGUACCCCCUGAGGAAGCCACGGCCAACUCCGUGCCAGCAGCCGCGGU
rnacentral:rRNA from 1 species